GAUGAACGCUGGCGGCGUGCCUAAUACAUGCAAGUCGAGCGGACGGACGAGAAGCUUGCUUCUCUGAUGUUAGCGGCGGACGGGUGAGUAACACGUGGAUAACCUACCUAUAAGACUGGGAUAACUUCGGGAAACCGGAGCUAAUUCCGGAUGAUAUUUUGAACCGCAUGGUUCAAAAGUGAAAGACGGUCUUGCUGUCACUUAUAGAUGGAUCCGCGCUGCAUUAGCUAGUUGGUAAGGUAACGGCUUACCAAGGCAACGAUGCAUAGCCGACCUGAGAGGGUGAUCGGCCACACUGGAACUGAGACACGGUCCAGACUCCUACGGGAGGCAGCAGUAGGGAAUCUUCCGCAAUGGGCGAAAGCCUGACGGAGCAACGCCGCGUGAGUGAUGAAGGUCUUCGGAUCGUAAAACUCUGUUAUUAGGGAAGAACAUAUGUGUAAGUAACUGUGCACAUCUUGACGGUACCUAAUCAGAAAGCCACGGCUAACUACGUG
rnacentral:rRNA from 1 species